GACGAACGCUGGCGGCAGGCCUAACACAUGCAAGUCGAGCGGAGCUGCGGACGGGUGAGUAAUGCCUAGGAAUCUGCCUGGUAGUGGGGGAUAACGUCCGGAAACGGGCGCUAAUACCGCAUACUAUCAGAUGAGCCUAGGUCGGAUUAGCUAGUGGGUGGGGUAACGGAUCACCUAGGCGACGAUCGCUAGCUGGUCUGAGAGGAUGAUCAGCCAAACUGGAACUGAGACACGGCCCAGAAUCGUACGGGAGGCAGCAGGGGGGAAUAUUGCACAAUGGGAGCAAGCCUGAUGCAGCCAUGCCGCGUGCAUGAAGAAGGCCUUAGGGUUGUAAAGUGCUUUCAGCGGGGAGGCGUUACCCGCAGAGGAAGCACCGGCUAGCUCCGUGCCAGCAGCCGCGGUAAUAC
rnacentral:rRNA from 1 species